AAGCUCUCCGGAGCCCAUCUCGAGAACUCAGACUCGGGGGAAAUGCGCGCGGGGUCCUUGCGCGCUCUGAGUGGACAGCCGUCUGCCACGGUUUCUUCAGGUGCCAAGAGAAACGGGAAAAGGAAGAGCCUACUUGACAGCAACACCAACACCUCUCGACAUGGAAAUACACUGAUAGAAUAGGCAAAAGAAAC